AGAGUGCUAUUCAUGAGAACACAGCCCUAGUAAAGAGGUUCCAUCGGGCAGAAGUGGCCUAACAGGAAGCGCAAAAUAUGGAGUUAGAUCAGGAAAAGGUUGUUGUCACGCAGGAGGAUGAACUCAUGAAAUUCAGGUCAGAUGUCCAGAAGAUGCCCAAGAACCAUUGAUGGUAUAUAGACUACUACUCACAAGAACACAGCCCUAGAAAAGAGGUUCCAUCUGGCAGAUGUGGCCUAACGGGAAGCGCUGAAUAUGGAGUUAGAUCAGGAAAAGGUGGUCACGCAGGAGGAUGAACUAAAAAAAAUCAGAUCAGAUGUCCAGAAGAUGCCCAGGAAUGCCACCAGAACCAGUGAGGGCAUAUACAGUAGUGGUAUUCACAAGAACAGAUCCCUGGAAUCAAGGGUUCAUCUGGCAGAAAUAGCCCAACGGAAAGCAGAGAAUAUGUAGCAAGACUGUGUAGUCACGCUGGAGGAUGAACUCGACAAACUUGGGUCAAUGGACCAGAAAAUGCGCUGCA